UAACAAGGCUAAAGUCAUUUGGGACUGAAAGGAAUUUCCAAUGAUGAAGGAGCAUCUUAAUAAGAAAUGAGUGGGAUAGGACUCCAACCCAGAAAUCUUGGCGCUUUCAGCCUCGUAAAACUGCCGAAGUUCAUGAACACAGCCUUUGUGCCUUCCCUGGCACCAUGUGUGAGAGACAUUCCAGGUUCUCAUGCAUGAAGUGGCUGGGGUGAUGUAUCCUGUCGUGUGAGGUGACACACACCAGGUCUUGGAAUUGCCUGUAAGCACAGUUCCGAAGAGAAACUUUCUUGAUUGGCUGUCUGUUAAAAGCCUGUGGUGAGAGUUGGAAGUGGGUUGCAAUAGGGGAAUCUAUUCUUUUAAAUGCUGGUAUAACUCAAGUUCAUAGGGCCAAAGUAUGAGGGAACCAUCAAACCUCAUAACUUUAAACAAUUUGAAUCCCCUCUUCUCAAGGCAAACAAAGUGAUAUGUGUGAUGUUUUAGUCCUAGCCAACUGGCUAUGUUUUCUUACUGUGCUUAUUUUUCUGGGCUGUGUCAGGGUUGCUAGUCCCAUUUGCAUCAUUUGCUUAUUGGCUAUUGGCCCAAAGGUCUCACAAAAGGUGGGUCAGUUUUGUUUUGUUUUUUUAAACACUGUAUUGUGACUGGAUUUGGGCUCCACUCUACAGUCUAUUCCUAAAGAAGCUGCUACUUGUGAUGGGGUCAGGUGCGGGCUGGAGAGAAAAGUUUCCUUUUUGACUGAUGGAGAAUGUCCCCACCCCCAUACAGAUGCAGCUGUGCUCUGCUGAUAACAAUACUGCCUGGCACCUUCCCAAAGUUCGAUGCUCAACUUGAUGACCCAUUUGUGACAGAGAGAAAUACAGCUGCCGCGUGUCUUGGAAUGCUCAUGCCGGCAGGAUGGCUGUGUAACUUACUAUGGAUAACCAUAUGGCACAAACUGAUCUUCAUCACUCUGAAGGUGACUGUCAUCCACAAGGAGCAUAUUUACCUCAGGUGGGUCAGCUGUAGGCGACAGGAGCCUCUGUCAACCUAAAUUACUGACUGGCAUCAUGGAGGAUGACUGCUUUAAAAAGGUUGUGUGGUUGUUGCUUUUGUUUUACUGCAUUCAAAACAUGUGACAGAAACAGCUCAAGGGAAAAAAGGCAAGACUGAUUUUUUGGCUCCUGGUUUCUGAGAGUCUCAGUCCCUCAUACUGGGGAAGGUCUGAUUGACAGCUCUGCUGGUGGCAGUGGGAGUGUAUAAUGAACAGUGAAGACUGAAGACUGGUAACAAUGUGGCAGACAGGGAGCAGAGAGCAUGAUGGGAAACCAGUGGGUAUGGCCUUCAAAGGCCCAUCCCUCAGAGAUGGGAUGUUAGACCAAGGCUUGCCUAGCAUGCACAGGCCUUGACUUCCAGCUCCAACAACACAAAUACCAAACAAACAAAACUCAAAGCCUUUGCUCCUAGUGCCCUCCUUCUACCCAUGAGGCCCCACUCUCUAAAAGUUCCUCAGCUGCACAAAACAAUGCCACCAUCUGGGGAACAAGCACAUAGAAUGUGUGUGGGGUGGGGACACAUUUCCUACUCAAAUCAUAACAGAUGACUGUGACCACAUGAACAGAUGAGAAAAAAUUAAGUUUUGCUGCAGAAGAUUUGCAGAUUUGUUGUUUUUGCUGCUGUAAUAUAACCCAGCCUUUUUUGGGUGACUAUGCCCAGGCUUUUGUUCUGAUUAGCUGAAUUCCUAAGCUAACUCCUCAUCUAAACCUCAUUUUACUCAGCCAAUUGACAUUCACACACACACACCCCAAGGUCUUGCCUUUUUUAUGUUUUGUUUUGUAAAAGACUUAGGUAUUUCAUUCCUUUCUUAUUACCUAUGCUCGCCACCCCCUCCAUGUCUUAGUGCUGGCUCUGAAAGCCUAUGUACAAUGGCCAGUCAGGUGUGUGUCUGGCUGUGCUGACACACAUAUCAGUGCUAUGAUAGGGCCAUAUGCAGAGUCUCCUUGAAUGUUGAUGCACUGUGGAGUCAUUCUGAGGGAUGCAAGGUGUUCUUGGUAAGCCUUUCUAGCAAAGCAGAGUCACUAAUUCUCAACCAAACUUGGCCCUUCACUCCACUACUAGUUCAGUGCUAAUGCUCAAUUCUGGUUCUCAUUGGUAUGUAUAUAUAUACCCAGGAUUCCCAUGCUAGCAAUUCAGAAGUACCAUAGAUAGAAACAGAACAGGCUCAUCAACUUCCAAGACCCAAUUCAAUAUAUCCCUUGAGUCUGUUAAGGGUUCUUUCUCCUCCCAUGCUGUCAAAAGUGACAACAAUAAAGGUAAAAUUGAUGUUUAAGACCGACA
rnacentral:lncRNA from 1 species